GAUGAACGCUGGCGGCGUGCUUAACACAUGCAAGUCGAACGGAAAGGCACAAGCUUGUUUGGGUACUCGAGUGGCGAACGGGUGAGUAACACGUGGGUAACCUGCCCUGCACUUUGGGAUAAGCCAAGGAAACUGGGUCUAAUACCGGAUAGGACCACAUCUUCGAUGGUGAGGUGGAAAGAUUUUCGGUGUGGGAUGAUGGAGGGGCCUAUGAGCUUGUUGGUGGUGUAAUGGUCGACGACGGCGUCGACGGGUAGUCGGCCUGUGAGGGUGUACGGCGACAUUGGGACUAAGGUACGGCCCAGAGGGGUACGGGGGACAACAGUGGGGAAUCUUGCACAAUGGUCGCGAGUCUGAGGCAGAGACCCCGCGUUUGGGAUGCCGUUUUUCGGGUUAUAAAAAGCUUUCGCUUAAGACGACGCUGUAGUGACGGUACCUGGAGAAGAAGCACCGGCUAACUACGUG
rnacentral:rRNA from 1 species